rnacentral:rRNA from 1 species
AGAGUUUGAUCCUGGCUCAGAGCGAACGCUGGCGGCAGGCCUAACACAUGCAAGUCGAACGGGCCCUUCGGGGUCAGUGGCAGACGGGUGAGUAACGCGUGGGAACGUGCCCAUCGGUUCGGAAUAACCCAGGGAAACUUGGGCUAAUACCGGAUACGUCCUUUUUGGAGAAAGAUUUAUCGCCGAUGGAUCGGCCCGCGUCUGAUUAGCUAGUUGGUGGGGUAAUGGCCCACCAAGGCGACGAUCAGUAGCUGGUCUGAGAGGAUGAUCAGCCACACUGGGACUGAGACACGGCCCAGACUCCUACGGGAGGCAGCAGUGGGGAAUAUUGGACAAUGGGCGCAAGCCUGAUCCAGCCAUGCCGCGUGAGUGAUGAAGGCCCUAGGGUUGUAAAGCUCUUUCACCCACGACGAUAAUGACGGUAGUGGGAGAAGAAGCCCCGGCUAACUUCGUGCCAGCAGCCGCGGUAAUACGAAGGGGGCUAGCGUUGCUCGGAAUCACUGGGCGUAAAGGGCGCGUAGGCGGACCUUUAAGUCAGGGGUGAAAGCCUGUGGCUCAACCACAGAAUUGCCUUUGAUACUGAGGGUCUCGAGACCGGAAGAGGUUGGUGGAACUGCGAGUGUAGAGGUGAAAUUCGUAGAUAUUCGCAAGAACACCAGUGGCGAAGGCGGCCAACUGGUCCGGUUCUNNNNNNNANNNNCGAAAGCGUGGGGAGCAAACAGGAUUAGAUACCCUAGUAGUCC